rnacentral:lncRNA from 1 species
UGAAGGUCUUCUCUCUGGAUCUGGAGGAAUCAUAACCUUUCUCAACUCCAUAAACUCUCAGGAAAGCACUUGUGCUAUCAAGGUAACCUGGCCUGUGUGAAUUCAUGCGCUGGUCUUCAUUUCUGGGAAGAGCUUCAGCACCAGCAGCACAUACCACUGUGAGGACAAGUGAAAAAAUCUCUCUCUGGGUAGAUGGGUAUAAUCCUCCUGUAAAGCUUCAUUUGCAGGAAAACGACUAUCACCCUCUUCAAACUGUGGACUAGAGAUCCUUCUUACACGUCCAAGA